GGGGUUAAAAAUUUAGGCAGAAAGGAAAUCCUUGACCGAUUAUUAGUUUAAUGCAUUUCCAAUGGUAGAAAUGAUCCAUUAAACUUGAAACUCAAUGCGAAGUAAUGAAAUCAUGGACAACAAAUUCUUACAAUUUAUAAAGAAAGCUUGAGGUUCAAGAUAUCAUUCUCUUCCUCUACUAUCUCUUGUUUAUUUUGAUCAUCUUCUGCAGUGGUAGAUGGACCUGUAAUAUUAUCUGCAGGAGCUGGGACGGAGAUAAAUUUAUUGAUCUCGAAAUCCUCCAGCUGGAACUUCGGACACCAACCAUAUUGAUCUUCGGCUUUUCUUCGCUGUCCUUCACCAGAACUUCGUUCUCCUUCGGUCUGUCUACUCCGCCUACACGUCGCGUACUUUUAAUCAGUGCAAAGAAUUUCUCCAUUUUUUCAUCCUCAGUCUCUCCUCCAUCAUUCUCUACCUUUCUCUUCUUUCCUUCCUUGCCCUUAUCCAUGUAUGACUGUUAAAAUGAUUGAGAUUGUAAGGGUUUUUAUGGAGCGGGGCUGUUAUUUAUUUAACAAUUG
rnacentral:lncRNA from 1 species